UACGAAGGGGGCUGGCGUUGCUCGGAAUCACUGGGCGUAAAGGGUGCGUAGGCGUGUCUUUAAGUCAGGGGUGAAAUCCUGGAGCUCAACUCCAGAACUGCCUUUGAUACUGAGGAUCUUGAGUUCGGGAGAGGUGAGUGGAACUGCGAGUGUAGAGGUGAAAUUCGUAGAUAUUCGCAAGAACACCAGUGGCGAAGGCGGCUCACUGGCCCGAUACUGACGCUGAGGCACGAAAGCGUGGGGAGCAAACAGG
rnacentral:rRNA from 1 species